ensembl:rRNA 5S_rRNA 5S ribosomal RNA
GUCUACAGCCAUACCACCCUGAACGUGCCCAAUCUUGUCUGAUCUGAGAAGCUAAGUACUAGGAUGGGAGACAGCCUGGGAAUACCGAGUGCUUUAGGUU